rnacentral:tRNA from 1 species
GCCUGGGUGGCUCAACGGUAGAGCAGCGGUCUUGUAAACCGCAGGUUAUGGGUUCGAUUCCCAUCCCAGGCC